rfam:Myotis davidii contig135830, whole genome shotgun sequence.
AAGCACGCGUCUGCCUCUGAGGCCCAGGGCUCUUUGCAAAAUAAUCCACGACGUUUGCUGCACCUUAAACCUUCCUGAUGCUCCUUCCUCUGACGUUAACUCGUUAACGUCGC